UACGAAGGGGGCUAGCGUUGUUCGGAAUUACUGGGCGUAAAGCGCGUGUAGGCGGGUCUUUAAGUCAGGGGUGAAAUGCCAAGGCUCAACCUUGGAACUGCCUUUGAUACUGGAGAUCUUGAGUCCGGGAGAGGUGAGUGGAACUGCGAGUGUAGAGGUGAAAAUUCGUAGAUAUUCGCAAGAACACCAGUGGCGAAGGCGGCUCACUGGCCCGGAACUGACGCUGAGACGCGAAAAGCGUGGGGAGCAAACAGGG
rnacentral:rRNA from 1 species